rnacentral:misc_RNA from 1 species
GAUGAAGAACGUAGCGAAAUGCGAUAAGUAAUGUGAAUUGCAGAAUUCAGUGAAUCAUCGAAUCUUUGAACGCAUCUUGCGCUCCUUGGUAUUCUGAGGAGCAUGCCUGUUUGAGUGUCAUUUCAAGUUCUCAACCACAUCAAUUUCAAUGUGGCUUGGAUGGUGGGGGUUCUUUUUGCAGGCUUCUGUAAAUAUGAAGUCGGCUCCCCUGAAAUGUAUUAGUGGUAUCUGAGCUACUACAGGUGUGAUAACUAUCUAUGCCUUGGUAUGCUGCAUGAAACAGAUUGCGCCGCUUCUAACCAGUGGGAAACACAAUUUUGAUGAAUUUGACCUCAAAUCAGGUAGGACUACCCGCUGAACUUAAGCAUAUCAAUAAGCGGAGGA